UACAGAGAGUGCGAGCGUUAUUCAUAGUCACUGGGCGUAAAGGGUGUGUAGGCGGUUGGAUAAGUGUGGUGUGAAAUCUCCCGGCUUAACUGGGAGGGUGCGCUACAAACUGUCUGACUAGAGUGUGGGAUGGGUAAGUGGAAUUCCCGGUGUAGAGGUGAAAUUCGUAGAUAUCGGGAGGAACACCGGUGGCGAAGGCGGCGAUCUGGGUCGAUACUGACGCUGAGGUGCGAAAGCGUGGGGAGCAAACAGG
rnacentral:rRNA from 1 species